rnacentral:rRNA from 1 species
UGGGGAAUAUUGGACAAUGGGCGAAAGCCUGAUCCAGCCAUGCCGCGUGAGUGAUGAAGGCCUUAGGGUUGUAAAGCUCUUUUGGCGGGGAAGAUAAUGACGGUACCCGCAGAAUAAGUUCCGGCUAACUUCGUGCCAGCAGCCGCGGUAAUACGAAGGGAACUAGCGUUGUUCGGAAUCACUGGGCGUAAAGGGCGCGUAGGCGGACUGUCAAGUCAGGGGUGAAAUCCCAAGGCUCAACCUUGGAAUUGCCUUUGAAACUGUCAGUCUGGAGUGCAUGAGGGGAUAGCGGAAUUCCAAAUGUAGCAGUGAAAUGCGUAGAUAUUUGGAGGAACACCGGUGGCGAAGGCGGCUAUCUGGCAUGCAACUGACGCUGAGGCGCGAAAGCGUGGGGAUCAAA